rnacentral:rRNA from 1 species
AUGACAGACGAGAAGGAGGCCCGUCUCCUGCAGCGUGUCAUGGACGACUCCAUGUACACGCACGACGAGCGGCAGUGGGACGGCCUGGAGGAGGCCAUGGGCCUCUCUGCUGCCGCCGCCACGUUCCAGCAGCUGCUGGGCCAGGGGUGGGGCUGGUCCUGCACUGCUCCGGAGAUGGCCGCCGGCGUGGGCGUGAACUGGUGCCCCACUCCGCCGCGGUCACCGGAGCGGGAGGCCUCGCCACGGGAGGAGGUGGUGCAGGCACCUCCGGCCGUCCAGCCCAUCUCUGGACGCCGCCGGAGUACGUCGACCUCGUCAGCGACGAUGACGACACCGGCGGCCAGUGGAGACGGCGACGGCCACGGCACCGACGGGCGCGGCAGGAGCGCGCGGGAGCGCGGAGGCGUUUUUAUUUAUUUUUUUAUAUGUUAA